ensembl:lncRNA
UAUCAAGCCAUGAAUAGACAUGGAGGAAACUUAAAUGCACCUUACAAGCCAAUUUGGAGAGGCUGCAUGCCAUAUGGCUCCAAAUCUAUGAGAUUCCAGAAAAGGCAAGACAAUGGAAAUUGUAAGGAAAUCAGUGGCUGCUGGAGGCUGUGGUCAGCAAGACUGGGAACUGAUUAGGAAGAGCAAGCAGUGUCUUUCAGACAGAGGAAGACAAGCCAGGCGGGAGCAAAGAUUUUUCAAAACAGCUGAUUUUCUUCCACUGCUCUGUUCCAGGGAAAGAUGUGAGGACAUACAUUGCCAGUCUCUCUUCUCUCCCAGCCCAGAGCAAGACUUCCCACAGCAGAGGGAGUUUCUGAGGCUACAGCAAAGGUCAAAAGAAAAUGGACUUAAGCUGCAGCAGAGCGGGUUUAGAAUCUUGCUGGAGAACUUGGAGUCUUGGUGGGGAGUGGCAUCACUUUAGUCUUUACACACCAUGAGGAAAGUAAAAGAGCCACCUGGUUCUGUCUUGGUCCUGCUACACCCUGAAAUGGGAAGAGUCCAGCAUCCCUGCCCACAGAAGCAUGCAGAUAGAUGGAUCAGGGAAAUUCUCCCAAAGCUUGGGUACCACAGAGCAUCAGGUUCUCUGCUAAAGCUUCCAGCAACAGAAUGAAACAAAUCACCCCUUUGAACAAAAAGCUCCAAAACUAGAGGGAAGAGAAAAUGAAAGCUGCAGAUCUCUGUAAAUUAUAUAUUAUCUGUGCCUGGAAUGCCCACAGGGGUCAUGAAUUCAGAGACCCCAACAGCAACAACAAACCAAUAUCUGACACCUUAUGUUCCAAACUCAUUACAGCUCUGGGAGUGAAAGGAUGGAGAGAAAACCAACAAACAAGCUGCAAAUAAAUUAUUCAAAAGAGG